UCGUCUAAACUUGGGAACAACUUCCUCUGCUGGGCCAGGGAUCAGUUUCCAUCCCAGAAAGAAGCAUGACUGGGAACAAAAAAAUACUGUAUUUAAACUCA